UAAGAAAUUAAUUUUCAACCAUCUGAAGGAGAGGGUUUGGAAGAAGCUAAAGGGUUGGAAAGAGAGAUAUUGACACAGGCGGGUAAGGAGGUUCUUGUUAAGUCUGUUGUGCAGGCCAUACUGUCUUAUGUUAUGAAGUGUUUCAGUCUUCCUGUGUCUUUUUGUGAAGCAAUCGAUUUUGGUGGGGUAGUGCUUUUGAUGAGAGGAAGAUUCAUGGGUUUCUUGGGAGAAGUUGUCUUUGGCGAAGAAGGAUGGUGGGAUGAGUUUUGGCAAUAUUCAUCUUUCUAAUUUGGCUUUGCUUGCAAACCAGGGAUAGUGUCUCCUUGCGAACCCUGAAUCGCUUUGCGCAAGAAUUUUUAAAGCAGAAUAUUUGUGGGUUGUGAUUUUCUUUGGGCACCUCUAGGUAAUCAAUCGAGUUUUGUAUGGCACAGCUUUUUGCAGGGGCGGGAUGUUUUAUUGUGGGGCUGGCUUGGUGAGCUGGAAAUGGGCGAUCCAUUCGUAUUGUUCAUGAUUGUUGGCUCCCAAAUUUAUCAUAUGCAAAAAGAACGCAAUCCUUUGCAUUCCUUUGAGUAGUAGGCUUCCUGAAGAUACCUUAUAUUGGCCAGCUGUCCGAGUAGGAUAUUAUACAGUGCGUUCCGGCUAUCACCUGGCCCAAGCACAUGCUCUCUCUUCUCAUUGCCUCAUCUUCGUUUGUUUCUAAUUGCGUAAAUUGGAAAGAACUAUGGGCAAUGAAACUCCCUCCAAAGAUUUGAGUUUUACUCUGGCGCUUGCUUCGUGAUAGUUUGCCCACCUGUUCGGCGCUAGUGAGAUGAGGAAUCAGUUGGCCUUCAAGCGUCCAUCCAGGCCUAUUCCAGAGAUAUGUCAAGAUGCCCAGGGGCUGGUCGAGGAAUUUCGUAGCCCUGCUAUCUUGAGGAGCUCUGGCCCCUUACCUUUGGUGUCUAGCUGGGGACCGCCAGCAGCUGGGUUUGUUAAGAUCAAUUCAGAUCCUUCUAUCGCUGCCCGUCUGGGUUGCACGACUGUGGGUGCGUUUUGUCCCGAUCGUAAGGGUGAGGUCUUAUGGAUUGCGGGGCGUCGAUAUCAUGCUAUAUAGGAUGCUGAUUGGGCAGAGAGGGCUGCUAUUCUUCUCGGUCUUCGGCAAGCAAGCUAAGGCACGUGGUUUGGCUUCUAUUAUUGUUGAAUGUGAUUCUCAAAAUUGGAUUUCCUAGCUUAAGGAUCGUGGCUCUCGAUUGGGUCCGUCUGGAUUAAUUUUGAAGGAUAUAAUGUUGGAACUUCUCUCUUUUCAGUAGAUGCUAUUCAGAUUUGUCAUACGUCAUUGCAAUAUGGCUGCUUGUGCUAUGGCCCAGCACUUGCAUUAUUCUUCUAUGGAUUUUCUUGUUUUGUACAGUUGUUUCCCUCUAUCUAUUUUGGAGCCCUGUUUUGCUGAUUUGUCUUCUCUUUAGUUGUUUGAACGAAAAUUUAUUUGCCACAAAAAAAUAGCCUGAAAUAAAA
rnacentral:misc_RNA from 1 species